UGGGGAAUCUUGCACAAUGGGGGCAACCCUGAUGCAGCGACGCCGCGUGAGCGAUGAAGCCCUUCGGGGCGUAAAGCUCUUUCGACCGGAACGAUAAUGACGGUACCGGGAGAAGAAGCUGCGGCUAACUACGUGCCAGCAGCCGCGGUAAUACGUAGGCAGCGAGCGUUGUUCGGAGUUACUGGGCGUAAAGAGUGCGUAGGCGGUUUUCUAAGUUCGGUUUGAAAUCUCCCGGCUUAACUGGGAGGGUGCGCCGAAGACUGGGAAGCUGGAGUGUGGGAAAGGCAGGCGGAAUUCCUGGUGUAGCGGUGAAAUGCGUAGAUAUCAGGAGGAACACCGGCGGUGUAGACGGCUUGCUAGACCAUAACUGACGCUGAGGCACGAAAGCGUGGGUAGCAAACA
rnacentral:rRNA from 1 species